CCUACGGGAGGCUGCAGUGAGGAAUAUUGGGCAAUGGGGGCAACCCUGACCCAGCCAUGCCGCGUGAGUGAAGAAGGUCUUCGGAUUGUAAAGCUCUUUCGGCCGUGACGAUGAUGACGGUAGCGUCUUAAGAAGCACCGGCAAACUUCGUGCCAGCAGCCGCGGUAAUACGGAGGGGGCGAGCGUUGUUCGGAUUUACUGGGCGUAAAGGGAGUGUAGGCGGAUAUGUAAGUUAGCGGUGAAAUGCCGGGGCUCAACCCCGGGACUGCCAUUAUGACUGUGUAGCUAGAGUAAUGGAGAGGAAAGCGGAAUACCCAGUGUAGAGGUGAAAUUCGUAGAUAUUGGGUAGAACACCGGUGGCGAAGGCGGCUAUCUGGCCGGUUACUGACGCUGAGGCUCGAAAGCGUGGGGAGCAAACAGGAUUAGAUACCCCAGUAGUC
rnacentral:rRNA from 1 species